AGUGAACGCUGGCGGUAGGCCUAACACAUGCAAGUCGAACGGCAGCACAGUAAGAGCUUGCUCUUACGGGUGGCGAGUGGCGGACGGGUGAGGAAUACAUCGGAAUCUACUUUUUCGUGGGGGAUAACGUAGGGAAACUUACGCUAAUACCGCAUACGACCUACGGGUGAAAGCAGGGGAUCUUCGGACCUUGCGCGAUUGAAUGAGCCGAUGUCGGAUUAGCUAGUUGGCGGGGUAAAGGCCCACCAAGGCGACGAUCCGUAGCUGGUCUGAGAGGAUGAGAAGCCACACUGGAACUGAGAAACGGUCCAGACUCCUACGGGAGGCAGCAGUGGGGAAUAUUGGACAAUGGGCGCAAGCCUGAUCCAGCCAUACCGCGUGGGUGAAGAAGGCCUUCGGGUUGUAAAGCCCUUUUGUUGGGAAAGAAAAGCAGCAGGUUAAUACCCCGCUGUUCUGACGGUACCCAAAGAAUAAGCACCGGCUAACUUCGUG
rnacentral:rRNA from 1 species